rnacentral:rRNA from 1 species
UGGCUCAGAUUGAACGCUGGCGGCAGGCCUAACACAUGCAAGUCGAGCGGUAACAGGUCCAGCUUGCUGGAUGCUGACGAGCGGCGGACGGGUGAGUAACGCAUAGGAAUCUACCCGGUAGUGGGGGAUAACCUGGGGAAACCCAGGCUAAUACCGCAUACGUCCUACGGGAGAAAGGGGGCUUAGGCUCCCGCUAUUGGAUGAGCCUAUGCCGGAUUAGCUGGUUGGUGAGGUAAUGGCUCACCAAGGCGACGAUCCGUAGCUGGUCUGAGAGGAUGAUCAGCCACAUCGGGACUGAGACACGGCCCGAACUCCUACGGGAGGCAGCAGUGGGGAAUAUUGGACAAUGGGGGCAACCCUGAUCCAGCCAUGCCGCGUGUGUGAAGAAGGCCCUCGGGUUGUAAAGCACUUUCAGCGAGGAAGAACGCCUGUCGGGUAAUACCCGGCAGGAAAG